GGGAACACUCUGGUAGGUAUUUUUCUUUGGAUAUAUAAGUUAUGUUUUCUAUCUAAGUUAUACACCUUGAAAAAGAGAGAGAGAGAGAGAGAGAAUUCCCCCGAAGAAGGUGGUAUUUCAGGUUAAAUUCGUAGAAUCAACCAUUUUUAUAAAUUUGAUUAACAACUCAAAAAUGUCUUGAAAAGAGUCUUGUUUAUUUCUUUCCCGGUACUUUUGUCUGUGUUAGUUCUUUUUGGUUUUUUUCCCUCAUACCAAUUUGGCAUUUUUUUACAGUGAAUGGUAAUGGAAAUGGAAUGAAUGGGCAGGUAUUACCCUUACUAAUUCUCUUGCAUUACUUAUAGAGAUUUAAUUGGAUAUUCACAGUCUACUAACACUACCAAAAAAAUUUCUUAAGAGCUUUUCUGCACCAUUUGAGUAAUGUCAGGUUGAUUUGCUACUGGAAAGUGGAGAAUAUUUCUUAAGUGAUUAGACGAAUCAAGCAAAGAAGUGGCAGGAGAAGCAAGAGAAACAAGCAGCUAAAGUGACUGAAACCAAAAGGAAACGAGAAGAGACAUUUUUAUGAUCAACAAUAUUUUUUUGGAUCUGAUGUAGGAUGUUUGUAUGAUGGAUACUUUUUCAAUGUAGGAUGAUAAUUAACUUUGAAACUAAUGAAUGACCUUUUUAUUAUUUGUGUAUA
rnacentral:lncRNA from 1 species